AGAGAGGUUUGUUUUGUUCAUGUGUGGAGAGGUGGCUGCAGUCAGUGAUGAUUUUACAACACGCUGUCUCCUGCUUUUUAAAGUAUUUAGGCUGGGAUGAAAUGUUUUCUAAUAAUUAGUGAUUUUUGUGUUUGUUUAUCACCUGCACGGAGUUCCGUGAAAAGGAAAGCAUCCCUUUUCUGUGUUGAAUUUCACACACAGAGCGGAGCGCGUCAGUCGCAGCUACAGACAAGUCGAGCUUUUCAAUGAGAUGAUUUAAUGAGAAACAAACGCGUUGAAGCUCCAGCAGAGCUCUGCGCGAUUCUGAAAGACCAAAGUAAAGUUACUCCUUGCAAAGCAUGUUGUUUGUGUUCUUUCUUUAUCACACCAGAAGAAGUCAUGAAUAUAUUUGAAUGGGAAGGCUACAGUACAAAAUAAAUAUUAAUAAAUAAAAACCGCAGGCGGUGUUUCUGAAUGAAAAGAGGAUUCCGCUAGACCAGUGUGAAACUCAAACCAGUGAAGAUGGACGCGUCAGUGUGUCCGUGUCGCUCUUUCAAGACGAGCUCGCCUCUACCAUCGAGCACGCAGUGAAAGCGCCUCUACACACCGUCUUGUGCGCGAUUACUAAAGCUGUCGGCAGCAAUUCACUGAAUUCAGAGUGGAAAUGGAACAAAAAGGAGAAAGAGAAUGAAAGUCUGAAGCUGAGAUUGGAAAUAUCAGAGAACGAGCUGAAAGCUGUGCGAGGGUGUAUAAACGCUACACAUGCAGACACUAAACAACCUUUAAUAUUUCAAGAUCCCAAAGAGAGCCACGCUAUCCCUGAAUCUGAAGCACAGGAAGGGCCAAAGAUAGAAGCAGGAGUGCUGUGCAAGUCUAAUGCAGGUUACAGAGCUGGCAUGUGUUAAAGAUGAAGAGGUCCCUCAACAGGAAUGUGUUCCUAUUAAAGAGGAAUUCAUAGAGCAGGAAUGUGUCCCCAUCGCAGAGGAACUUCCUCAUGAAAAUCAUGUCUGUACACUUGAGGAGAACAACAAGCUGGGAUCCAACCUGUGUGAUGACUCUCCAUCUGAAUGUGAACUGGGAUUUAGAGGUAAUCCUACAAAACAAGCAGCAUUGAGCUGCCUAUUCAUCCUGCAGAAACUGGUACUGAACACCAGCAGUGUGCUUGAGAUUCAUAUUUUAACCAAGGGGAGCUGCCCAACCACUAUGUCAACAAGGACAUCACUGUGCUUGCUCCUGAGGCACCUGCUAGAUGUGCAGCCGCUGCCACGCCUCUUUAGAAUGCUGUGAGAUCAGCGGUGUCCAAUCACGCUCCUGGAGGCCAUUCCACUCCACAUUGAACAGCUUCUAAAGUAGAUGAAGGAGAACGCGACUCCACUCUAUCACCCCAGUGCAAAAAUGCUUCUAGAGGCAAACCACAGUGCAAGAAACACAGAGAAACAACACCCCAAGAAGAAAAUGUGAAGACAUUGAGAACUCACUCAGUUACAAUCCCUUCCUUACAAGACAGACACCCACUUACUGUGUAGAGUACAGAGACGCCACAUUCUGUAUGUUUUAACAAUUCUGAAACCCAGGGCAACUUGAAGACCUUGCCUCAUUCUAUUAAAGGUGGGAAGAGUUCCUGUCAAUUAGACACUCCUGAAACUCACAAGGGAAAUCCCAGAGGAGGGACUCCGUGUUCCUGGGCUGAUUGUAGGAAGAGUUUCAAUCAUAUAUCACUGCUUAAAAGACACCAGCGCGUUCACACAGGAGAGAAACCUUCUCACAUACAGACCAGUGAUAAGAGUUUUACACAGUUAGGAAAUCUUCAUUCACACCAGUGCAUUCACAUAGGAGAGAAACCUUAUCACUGUACUGAGUGUGGGGAGAGAUUCAGUCAGUCAGGAAACCGCACAAGACACCAUAACAUUCACACAUAUGUGUAAUCCUAUCCCUGCACUUAGUGUGAAGAUGUUAAGUCAGUUGCAGGCUCUUACAGGACUUGAGAACAUUCUCAGAAAUGCAGACACUUGGGGACACCUAAACAACAGGAGUGCAUUCGACUAAAUACAGAAAUAUUAACUGAAAACAAAAGAAUAAACUUGCUUGAUAAAUAGGGUCACCCCUAAUCACAAUCUGUUCAGAUCAAAAACUCACCAAAAUCUGUGUUCAUCAUGUUGUUGAGCAUAUUAAAUAGAUUGUUAUUAUGAGUGCAAGUUUCUCUUUUUUUCCUCCUGCAUUGCUCAGCCUCUUGCAGUGUGUUGUGUGGAAUCUUCCCUGAUACCAUGGUGAAUCUGCGGUACAUCAAGAUGCAGCACAGUAUACCACAGUUAUCAUGCGGGCAGCUUGAAGUGGAAAAUCAAUACUGUUUCCAGCAGGGUGCGCCAGAGACCUUUUAGCACUUUAAUGGGCUGCAUACCAUUACUUCUUAACAAGGUGAUUUCUGCUCCUGAUGUGUUGAAUACUCCCCUCUCUCUCUCUGGGGGACUCUAUUAAACAAACAGGCACAAGGUAUUUAGAAAUCACAGCUUUAUUACAUCAUCUUAGAUUCUCUCGUGUACCAGUUCUCUGUGCAUGGAAACAACAUUUUCAUGAGCCAUCUGCGAAAACAGCACAAGAACUUUACACAUGGCUAAUUUAUAUAGCAACCCCCACCUUUCCCCUUCAUUUACAUGACGUCUGAUGAAAGCCAGGUUUUCUCAAGUAAAAUAAACUGAGCGAAUGGGAACCCGAAAAAGCAUUUUGCACAAGACAUUUUUAUUAAGCAAUUCCAGUGGUUUGCAGAAGUAUUCACCCCCCUGCAAAGUUUUCACAUUUUGUUGGCACCUGAGCGUACUCCAUGACGCUUUCAAAUUAGACUUUACAUGUAGAAUCUACACAAACUACUCCACAUUGAUAAAGUUAAAGGUCACAAAAUUAGUGAAAUAGUUUUAGCUUGUAUGUACUCAAAGUGGUUUAACUUGUAGAUAAUUACAUUCAGGCAUAUAAAGACUUUCAAGCUGCAACUCACAUAGUGAACCAACAAAGCAACCAUGAAGACCAAGGAGCUUUCGAAAUAAGUCAGGGAUAAAGUGGUAGAGAGGCACAGAGAAGGGUACAAGAACAUUUCAAAGGCUCUGAUUAUCCCUCUCAGCACAGUGAAGGCCAUCAUUAAGAAGUGGAAGAUGCAUCAUACCACCCAGACACUACCCAGAUCAGGUCGCCCUCCCAAACUGAGCAGCUGGACAAGCAGGAAACUGGUUCGGGAUGUCACUGAAGCCACCAAUGACCUUGAGAGAUCUGCAAAGUUCUGUGUCUAAGGUGGGAGUCAGCAUUCACACAUCAACAAUAAGCCAGUCCCUACACAAAGCUGGCCUGUAUGGAUGGGUGGCAAGAAAGAAGCCAUUACUCAAAAAGCAAUUGAACUACUGGUGACACAUUUCCUUUUUAUAUUUCCAUAUUUCAGCACAUGCAUCAGUGAUGUGAUAUCCAUCAAAGUUCCUUUGAAAUGCACAAUCAGGUGUUCAGUGGGAGCAGUGGUCACGCUUCAUUUGAAGUGCUGCUUGUUUAGUCUAGUAACUGUUAGCAAAGAGCUCAUUAAAACUAUCAAACAUUGUUCAUUGUGUUCUUAAUGUUUGGUUAAUUAAAAAGUAACCUAUUUAUGUACUAAUAAUGUCAUAUUAUUGGAAUUGGGAGAGGUUUGUUUAAAGGAACUAUUGAAGCUAGUACUGUAGUAAUGUUUAGCAGUGAGAUCAGGUUUGGUUUUAUUACCGUAUACUCACUAGGAAUUGACGCAUGCGCUUAUACUUGAGUAUGUGCUGUUUUCUGUGCAGGUGCAGUUACUCCUUUGGUUUCAUAUAGAAGCUUAUGCACCUGCAUUUGAGUGUAAUGCAAGGUGUGGAGGCUCACAUGUUCAUAUAUUGCAUUACAAGUUAAACACCAUAUUUAUUCUUUCUCUUUGAAUUCCAAAUGUUGUAAGACGGAUAAGGGUGUCUGCUAAGAAAGAAAUAAAUAAUAAUCUUUUUAGCUUGUAAUAAGAUAAUAAUAAUAUAUUUAUUUUUAUAUAGCACCUUUCAUAGUGGAACACCAUCUCACAGUGCUUUACAGAGGUAGGUUGUGAACUGUGCAUUAUAUGCAGAGUCACUUACAAUAGGGCAUUGAUUUAAUAAUAUAAGAAAAGUUAUGAACAAAAUCAGGGAAUUUAAUGCAUCAAUACUUUUCUAGUAGCUGACUGAUCCCUGGCUUUCAUCUAGUUGGCUUUUAAAGACAUCCUAAUGACUCUGCAGCAGCACCAUUCUAGUGACCCAUUUCAAACACUCCCAACUCUGUGAGAAGUGUCUUCUCUAAUCCUUCUUUGUUCCAGGCUAAAUAGAUUCAGUUCCCUUGUCUGUUGAUUGUCUGUUAACUCCACUGCAAGGGAUGUUGCCCAGUCGGAGGAGCACGUCAACCCGAGCCCUUUUUGACUCUGGGUGUAAUAAUAAAUGUGUCAAUUAGCAGACGCUGUUAUCCAAAGCAACUACAGAGACUAGGGAAUGAACUAUACACCAACAAUUUCUGCUGCAGAGUCACUUCCAAUAGGACCUCGGUUUUACAUCUCAUCCGAAGGACGGAGCACAAGGAGGUUAAGUAACUUACUGUGAGAAGAUGUGUCUCCUAACCUCUGUCCUAAGUCUGUCUCCACUCAGUUUAUAACUGUGUACUCUAGUCCUGGUCUCUCUGCUGUGCUUAAAAGAGUGACUACAGUUAACUCCAACUUUUUAAAAGCUUUUUAGUCUCCUCUAGUCUUUUUUUGUUCCAGACUGAAUUGAUUUAGUUCCCUCAACUGUUCUCUCAGCAUAUUUAGGAUUGGUUGAGUGUACAAGGAAAACAACUGACUCUGGAGAGGAGUUACCAAUCAAUGCCAGCACACUGGAGAUCCAGAAUUCAGAACACAGAACCAGGGAGGACAUUCGGCCCAUCAGUGCAGCAGCUGAUUGAUCUCAAACCUGUUAAGUUGGGUCUUAAAGGAUCCCAGCCCUAACAACAUGACUUGGUAACCCAUUCCAUCCCCUCACCACACUCUGUGAGAAGGUGUCUCCUACCCUCCGUCCUAUAGCUAUCCACACUUAAUUUCCAACAGUGCCCUCUGACCCUGGUGUCAGUGCUAUGCUUGAGGUAUUAGUUUGGGUUAACUUUGUCAACACCUUUCAAGUUUUUAAAGACUUCAGUCAAGUCCGCCUAAUUGUUCUGUGUUCAAGCUAAACAAAUUCAGUACCCUCUUCACAGCUCGUUCCUUUAAGCCCCGGGAUUAGUCUUCACCUUUAUGAUUGCAUCCCUGUUGCUGGUAGAAAUGAGUCUAUCACAACACCAAGGUCUUUCUCUCACACCCACUGUGUAUUUCAAUCCUACUUUUUUCCUUCUAAAAAGAGACUUGGUAAUACAUUUGUGAAAUGUUUCAAUAAGAAACAUGCACUCCACACUGUACAGCAGCUGAUUGAUUUGCUAAUGAAAGAAGCAGCUCAACCACAACACCUGGUAUAAUGAACAUGUUUGUGAGCCAGGUGUUUGCAGUACUGUGCUGUAGAUAUGAAAUUCCAGAGAAGGCUUCAUUUUGCAUGACUGAUAACUAAUCAUUCUAUUGCCUUUAAUACUGUAUAUGGGGCCACCUGUCUGCACCUGCUGAUCCCAGCACUGAUCCUGCUCUGUGUUAAGAGAACAAUGAAGAUCACUGACACUGUGUCAAUAGAUUUGGAUCAUAGGGUAUAGAGGAAAUAGUUUUCAAGUGAAGUAUGGAAAUUUGGAAGAGGAGGGCAUCACACAGUAUCACAGUGUAGAGAAAGAAAGGGUCCUUGAUGAGGGUUUAGUGGUGAAGGAGUGCAUUUGCCUGGGAGAGGGUAUAAAACAGAGCAGGGUGGAGGGACCAGAGCAGCUGAAGAGUGGAAAAGCAGCAUCAGCACCUUGUCAAGAUGAAAGCCUGGACUACAAGAGCCAUUCUCCUCUCGGUCCUGACAGCAUGUCUUCUGUCAGGGGCUGGUAAG